AUGCAAACUAAUCUGUAAGUAUUUGAACUCUUUAUGUCAGUUUAUAUAUUUUCUCAUAGAUCUAUUUGUAAAGGCUAUAAUUAUAUAAAUCAAGCAUAGCUUUAAGAAAAGAAAGUCUUACUCAUUUCUGGUCCGUGAGAUACAUUUAUGAAGUAGAUACUGUGAACUACCUGUUGCAUAUCUAAGGUUUAGCACUUAGUUAUCUCUCCAUUUCAGCCGUGAUGCUGAAUUCUGUUUUCUGUUCUCAACAGUAUGUGAAAAGAAAAGAAUUACGAUUAUGGUGAGUGACCUCUAAAGGCUCAUUUCCUAAAGCCCACCUCUGAGGUUUCCAUGUAGAAAUUUUUUGGCUAAGUAUUAGAUGUUUCCAGAUACCCUUCUAGCUAACUAGGAUACGUAUCUAUAGCUUCUUAAAUGAGUAUUGGCCUACUGUUGUAUGAGUUACAUAAGCAAGUGCAAAUGUAAAGAUUGUAUCUAUCUGGACCAAAAUGAGUUAGUGUAAAGGUACAUAACAUAACUCCUAGCCUAAAUUAGGGUAAUUAACUGAGAAAUUACAUGAAAGCACUUACUGUGGUCCCUGGCUCCUGGUAUGUACUUUAAUACAUGUUGAGAUUCUCUAAAGCUUGAUUAGGGCAUAAGAGUUUAGUUAACCUGAAUUUUCUAGCAAAUUGCAUAUCAAAAUCCCGUGUGCCCAGAAUUGAAAUUUAUACUUAAAAAUGUUUUUUAUGAAUUAAAUCCCUAAAACCAAUAAAUUGAGGUUAUUUUCACACAGCUACAGAUUAAAGUCCUUUUCAAAACAAGUUUUAACUUCCUUCACUAGAAAUGAUUGAGGAUAGGUAUCUCAAAUGUUAACGUUUUAAUACAUUACAUGUUAUCUCCACUAUUCCAUAAAUAAGAGUUGAGCUGAACACAAACCCAGUAAAAUCAGUGGUUUUAUUUCUUGUUUAACAUAUUUUGUGGAUUUCAGCUUACUAAAAAAAAUUUCUAAACUUUCAUCCCACUUACUAAGGAGCUAUGGUAAAAUCUCUUCAUGCCUUUAAGGAAAAAUUUACAAUAAUUCGUUCUUCAUUUUUCAGAAGUUUUUGGAUUCAUGUAAGAAUUUAACAUAUUACAUUUUAUCUUACUAUUUUGGCGUAGUCUAGUUUGUGUGUGUGUGUUUUACUUUGGUUUGUUUCAUUACUUUGAACUAGUUAGAAAUCUGUCCUGUAGUCUAUUUUACAUGGUGAGAGUAACAAAAACCAGAUCAUGCAGGUGACGUGGAUUCUAAUAAUUUUUUUUUAAAUGUUUAUUUAUUUUUGAGAAACAGCUCUAGUGGGCAAGGGGCAGAGAGCAGGGGACACAGAAUCCGAAGCAGGCUCCAGGCUCUGAGCUGUCAGCACAGAGCCCGACACUGGGCUCAAACUCACAGGCUGUGAGAUCAUGACCUGAGCCUAAGUCGGCCGCUUAACCGACUGAGCCAUCUGGGCACCCCCGUGACCUGGAUUCUAAAUCCAUCUCUGUCACUAGCCCUUUGGAUAAUGUCCACUCUUUGGGCAUCAGUCUUUUGAAAUUUAAAAUUGGACUAGGCAAUCUCUGUAAUCUCUUAAAGUCUGAUCUAAUUCCAACUUUCUGUCUUUACAUGAGUCUAGUAAUGGUGGAUGGGUUCUGGGUUUGGGUUUUUUGUUUUUUAACUAAACUCUACACCCAAUGUGGGCUCAAACUCACGACCCCAGGAUUAAGAGUUGCAUACUCUACCAGCUGAGCCACCAGGUGCCCCCGGGAUUUGGGAGUUUUGAGCGCGUGCCUGUUUAAUUCAAAGAAAAGUUUGAUUCACUUUUUUA